rnacentral:rRNA from 1 species
AUUGAACGCUGGCGGCAUGCCUUACACAUGCAAGUCGAACGGUAACAGGUCUUCGGAUGCUGACGAGUGGCGAACGGGUGAGUAAUACAUCGGAACGUGCCCGAGAGUGGGGGAUAACGAGGCGAAAGCUUUGCUAAUACCGCAUACGAUCUCAGGAUGAAAGCAGGGGACCGCAAGGCCUUGCGCUCACGGAGCGGCCGAUGGCAGAUUAGGUAGUUGGUGGGAUAAAAGCUUACCAAGCCGACGAUCUGUAGCUGGUCUGAGAGAACGACCAGCCACACUGGGACUGGGACACGGCCCAGACUCCUACGGGAGGCAGCAGUGGGGAAUUUUGGACAAUGGGCGCAAGCCUGAUCCAGCCAUGCCGCGUGCAGGAUGAAGGCCUUCGGGUUGUAGACUGCUUUUGUACGGAACGAAAAGACUCUGGUUAAUACCUGGGGUCCAUGACGGUACCGUAAGAAUAAGCACCGGCUAACUACGUGCCAGCAGCCGCCGUAACAC